rnacentral:sRNA from 1 species
CAGGCUGGGUUCCAGCAUAGGGCUCUUGGUGGGCACGCUGGGGUCGGGUGGAGUGCAGGAGAGAGAGGAGGUGGGACAGGUGGGUACCUGGGCUGGAGGCAGGGCCUGAGGUGGGCAGGUGCAGAGGGCUGCACUUCUCGGCUGAAGCCAGGAAUGAGGACCCCGCUCUCGGGUGGGAUUGGAGGGGACCCGCGGCUGAGGCGCAGGGCUGCGACAGGGACAUCACCGUUCUCCUCCUCAGGGAGAUGGUGCUCGUCGUGCACGGCUUCCCGUCCUCCGUGGCCGCCCUUCGGGUAAGGAAGGAGACCGGGCAGCGGCGGCCGGGCGAGGGCUUGGGUUCCGCCCCUCGCUCCGAGCCGCCCUGAUGCCCCUGUACGCCGCCCGCAGUUUGAGUGGGCUUGGCAGCACCCGCACGCCUCGCGCCGCCUGGCGCACGUGGGGCCUCGCCUGCGAGGAGAGACAGCCUUCGCUUUCCACCUGCGCGUGCUGGCGCACAUGCUGCGCGCACCGCCCUGGGCUCGCCUCCCGCUCACGCUGCGCUGGGUGCGCCCAGACCUCCGCCAGGACCUCUGCCUCCCGCCGCCGCCGCACGUGCCUCUGGCCUUCGGGCCUCCACCGCCCCAGGCCCCGGCCCCAAGGCGCCGCGCAGGUCCCUUUGAUGACGCGGAGACUGAGCCAGACCAGGGGGAUCCAGGGGCCUGCUGCUCCCUGUGCGCCCAGACCAUCCAGGAUGAAGAGGGGCCCUUGUGUUGCCCCCACCCUGGCUGCCUGCUAAGGGCCCAUGUGAUCUGCCUGGCAGAGGAGUUUCUUCAGGAAGAACCAGGGCAGCUUCUGCCCCUAGAGGGCCAAUGCCCUUGCUGUGAGAAGUCACUGCUUUGGGGAGACCUGAUCUGGCUGUGCCAGAUGGACACUGAGAAAGAAGUAGAAGACUCAGAAUUAGAAGAGGAACAUGGAGCUGAUCCAGGACACCUCCCGCCCGCCACUGGAGUACGUGAAGGGGGUCCCGCUCAUCAAGUACUUUGCAGAGGCGCUGGGGCCCCUGCAAAGCUUCCAGGCCCGGCCUGAUGACCUGCUCAUCAGCACCUACCCCAAGUCUGGCACCACCUGGGUGAGCCAGAUACUGGACAUGAUCUACCAGGGCGGCGAUCUAGAGAAGUGUAACCGGGCUCCCAUCUACAUGCGGGUGCCCUUCCUUGAGGUCAAUGAUCCAGGGGAACCCUCAGGGAUGGAGACUCUGAAAGACACACCGCCCCCACGGCUCAUCAAGUCACACCUGCCCCUGGCUCUGCUCCCUCAGACUCUGUUGGAUCAGAAGGUCAAGGUGGUCUAUGUUGCCCGAAACCCAAAGGACGUGGCGGUCUCCUACUACCAUUUCCACCGUAUGGAAAAGGCGCACCCUGAGCCUGGGACCUGGGACAGCUUCCUGGAAAAGUUCAUGGCUGGAGAAGUGUCCUACGGGUCCUGGUACCAGCACGUGCAGGAGUGGUGGGAGCUGAGCCGCACCCACCCUGUUCUCUACCUCUUCUAUGAAGACAUGAAGGAGAACCCCAAAAGGGAGAUUCAAAAGAUCCUGGAGUUUGUGGGGCGCUCCCUGCCAGAGGAGACCGUGGACUUCAUGGUUCAGCACACGUCGUUCAAGGAGAUGAAGAAGAACCCUAUGACCAACUACACCACCGUCCCCCAGGAGCUCAUGGACCACAGCAUCUCCCCCUUCAUGAGGAAAGGCAUGGCUGGGGACUGGAAGACCACCUUCACCGUGGCGCAGAAUGAGCGCUUCGAUGCGGACUAUGCGGAGAAGAUGGCAGGCUGCAGCCUCAGCUUCCGCUCUGAGCUGUGAGAGGGGCUCCUGGAGUCACUGCAGAGGGAGUGUGCGAAUCUACCCUGACCAAUGGGCUCAAGAAUAAAGUAUGAUUUUUGAGUCAGGCACAGUGGCUCAUGUCUGCAAUCCCAGCGAUUUGGGAGGUUGAGCUGGUAGGAUCACAAUAGGCCACGAAUUUGAGACCAGCCUGGUAAAAUAGUGAGACCUCAUCUCUACAAAGAUGUAAAAAAAUUAGCCACAUGUGCUGGCACUUACCUGUAGUCCCAGCUACUUGGGAAGCAGAGGCUGGAGGAUCAUUUCAGCCCAGGAGGUUGUGGAUACAGUGAGUUAUGACAUGCCCAUUCACUACAGCCUGGAUGACAAGCAAGACCCUCCCUCCAAAGAAAAUAAAGCUCAAUUAAAAUAAAAUA